GGAAGAGUGACGCUCCCGGUGGGGUGCCUGGUCUUCAAAACCAGUGAGGCGCUUAAGCAGUGCCUGGUGGGUUCGACUCCUACCUCUUCCG
rnacentral:tRNA from 1 species